AUGGAAACAGGAAACGGAGAGCAAGUCCACACCCUCACUCCCGUUGCCACCUCCUCUUCCACCGGCACCGCAGCCUCUACCCCUACUACCGUUGCUCAUGCCUCCACCGUAGUCUCCCCCGCCCUGGCCAAAAGCGGAAGAACUCGCGGCCGACACCCGACGGGGGUGGUCAUGGGUGUGUACAGCACGACGUAUGGAUUUGCGGCGGUGGCCACGAGGACGGCCGUAGCGAGUAUAGGAGCCACCGCAACAUCGCUGCACGGAGUCCUGCCGCGUGUGGCCUUCGCGCGCACUCCUCACAGGCUGUCGUUGAUGGCUCCACGUGGAGGGGAGAUGGAGAGCGAUGACGGUUGCUCGCUUCCGGAGAUCGUUGGCGUCGGUGGGGUCCGCUAG
rnacentral:rRNA from 1 species